AGAUCCGCCCCUCCAGCGACGGCAACGGACCGCGGCCAUCACCGUUCUCCCUCCCCGGAUCUCUCCUCCGCCUCGAAGCUCCGGUACACUCCGGCGACAGAGACGGUUCCAUGGACGUAUUCUAUGUCAUCUGAUCAAGGGCUUUCAACUCACUAUAUCAUGUUGAUCUUGUUGUCUUUAUUGAUCAUUGAGAAGAAAGCAAGAAAGUGUGCGGUUUCUAUCUCAUAUUGAUAGUUGAUAGAAGGGACCUUGUCACAUUUGUAGGGAGCUUGCAGGUGCUCUGACAUUAGAACCGUUUUGCUUUGUCCGAAGACGUCGUGUUCAGUUGCUGGGUGCCUUUCGGUUCAUUGGUUUUGGCACUCGAGGACUAUAUAGAUUUUCUGAAGAAGCAAUCUGCAAAUUAGUUGAAGAGGUGCUCUGACAUUAGAACCGUUUUGCUUUGUCCGAAGACGUCGUGUUCAGUUGCUGGGUGCCUUUCGGUUCAUUGGUUUUGGCACUCAAGGACUAUAUAGAUUUUCUGAAGAAGCAAUCUGCAAAUUAGUUGAAGAGGUAAAGGAAUCGAAGCAAGAGGACUUGUACUCGAUUGGAAAUUGUGUUUCUGCGCUAGAGAUAAUUGAAGAGCUAUCUGUUUCAGCAAAAGCAAAGGCGCUGUGGCUUUUCAAAUGCCCAAUGAAUAGUGAGAUAUUCAUCAAUACCAAGAACCCAAGCCUUAGGCUUUUCUGGUUGAAGGAGGAGAUUACUGCAAUGGAGAGAACAUAAGUUCAGUCAACAUCAAGAUGCAGUACCUUAUAUCGAUGAGGAUGCGGAGUGGAGAAACGACUUGCGUAGGGCUAGUGAUCGCCGCUUUGCAGUUCUUCUAAUUCGAAAGUAUCUCUUGCCGUGGACAUGGCAAGUGAUAAUUCAUUUUUUUGUUGCCGUGAACAAAUUUGAAUGAUGAUGGCACAUGAAAACGGUUUCGACCAACGCUCGAUCUGAAUGAGAUGUGGACCGACCGGUAUCUGAACCCUUGUGAAUUGAUGGCUAUUGGUCGUAAUAAUUCCUAAAAAUCUAGUUUACAUAAAUUCUGAGAUUUUAUAUGUGUUUGUUUUUUUAGAAUUAUUCGUGGAAUUCUUAUCUAUGGUCCAUUGUUAUCUAUAGAAUUUUGUAUGAAGGCUAUGAAUUUUUGUAGAAAUCUAUUGUUAUAUGUGUAGCAAAGUCUGUUAUGAUAUGUGUUAAUUUGAGGUA